GCCUGUUUAUCAAAAACAUGUCUCCUUGUAAGGUAGAAAUAAGGAGUCUGACCUGCCCGGUGAUUAAAUUUAACGGCCGCGGUACUUUGACCGUGCAAAGGUAGCAUAAUCAUUUGCCUUAUAAUUGAAGGCUAGUAUGAAUGGUUUGACGAAAAUAUAACUGUCUUUUUAUGACUUCUUAGAAUUUUAUUUUUAGGUGAAGAAGCCUAAGUAUUAUUAAAAGACAAGAAGACCCUAUCGAGCUUUAGAUAAAUUAGUGGAUUUUAGAAUUAAAAAUUUGAUAAUGAACUACUAAGAACUUUGGUUGGGGCGACUAAGGAACAAUUAAAGCUUCCAUAAUUUUAAUAAAUAAAUUUAUGUUGAUCCAGAAAAAUCUGAUUAAUAAAAUUAGUUACCGUAGGGAUAACAGCAUUAUCUUCUUUGAGAGUUCUAAUCGAAAGGAAGGUUUGUGACCUCGAUGUUGGACCAGAAUAUCCUAAAGAUGCAGAAGUCUUUAAGGGUUGGUCUGUUCGACCAUUAAAAUUCUACGUGAUCUGAGUUCA
rnacentral:rRNA from 1 species